rnacentral:rRNA from 1 species
GAAAGUGGCGAACGGGUGAGUAACACGUAGGUAACCUGCCGCAGAGGGGGAUAACGACUCGAAAUGGUCGCUAAUACCGCAUGGUACUUGUCAGACGGGAGUCAGACAGGUUAAAACCUUGGUGCUGCGCGAGGGGUCUGCGUCCGAUUAGUUAGUUGGUGGGGUAAAGGCUCACCAAGACGAUGAUCGGUAGCUGGUCUGAGAGGAUGAUCAGUCACACGGGAACUGAGACACGGUCCCGACUCCUACGGGGGGCAGCAGUGAGGAAUAUUGCACAAUGGACGCAAGUCUGAUGCAGCAACGCCGCGUGGAGGAUGAAGGUCUUAGGAUUGUAAACCCCUUUUUUCAGGGAAGAGAGAGGACGGUACCUGAAGAAUAAGUCACGGCUAACUACGUGCCAGCAGCCGCGGUAAUACGUAGGUGGCAAGCGUUAUCCGGAAUUACUGGGCGUAAAGCGCACGCAGGCGGUCUGUUAAGUUUGACGUGAAAGCUCUCGGCUAAACUGGGAGAGGUCGUUGAAUA